AACGCGAAGAACCUUACCUGACCUUGACAUCCCUCUGACCGUCCCGUAAUGGGGGCUUUCCUUCGGGACAGAGGAGACAGGUGGUGCAUGGUUGUCGUCAGCUCGUGUCGUGAGAUGUUGGGUUAAGUCCCGCAACGAGCGCAACCCUUAUCCUUAGUAGCCAGCAGGUUAAGCUGGGCACUCUAGGGAGACUGCCGGGGAUAACCCGGAGGAAGGUGGGGAUGACGUCAAAUCAUCAUGCCCCUUAUGGCCAGGGCUACACACGUGCUACAAUGGCGUAAACAAAGGGAGGCAAGCUCGUGAGAGUAAGCAAAUCCCAAAAAUAACGUCUCAGUUCGGAUUGUAGUCUGCAACUCGACUACAUGAAGCUGGAAUCGCUAGUAAUCGCGAAUCAGAAUGUCGCGGUGAAUACGUUCCCGGGCCUUGUACACACCGGCUAC
rnacentral:rRNA from 1 species